rnacentral:rRNA from 1 species
GACGAACCGUCCGAACGUUAUUCGGUAUCACUGGGCUUAAAGAGUUCGUAGGCGGUCGUGUAGGUCAGGUGUGAAAUCCCACAGCUCAACUGUGGAACUGCGCUUGAAACCACACGACUUGAGGGAGAUAGAGGUGAGCGGAACAGAUGGUGGAGCGGUGAAAUGCGUUGAUAUCAUCUGGAACACCGGUGGCGAAAGCGGCUACACUGGUCUUGACGCUG